CACAGUGAAUAAUUCCCUGGGUAGGUGAGUGUGAUGGGACUGAGGGGAGGCCCUUGUCCCAGGCGGCAGGGAGGGCAAGGUGGACCAGAGGAAUAUUUCUGACAGUGUUUAGAGGCACCAGGUCAGGUCUGACCUUCUCAUUCCUUACUGAGUGAGCCAGAAAGGGUCGUUUGAGGCACACAGAGCAGAACUGACUCUGGCAUGAGUCAAAGAGGUCACUGAGUCUCAGCCCAGGGACUGGAAAUCACUUGGAUUUCAAACAUUGCAUUAUCUGACAAGCAGCCAGAGGGCGCAGAUUCAAGGAAUUUGUCUGGGCAUUCCUUAAUCACUGCGUUGGGGAAAGACGCACACCCCAGCAGUGUCGCAGAGAGAACGAGGACGUGGUGAAUCGCAGCUAUGAAUCCUGUAAGUGAAGGCAACGCGAAACUGACAGAGGCCGCUCUCCUAGAUUCUCAUCCACCAAAUGUUCCCGAGAGGAGAGCCUCGAAGGGGCCAGAGGGGCAAGUCGGCAAAAUGAAGAGGAUUUUUGGGUUUGAGCUGUCGGAUUUCCGAAGCUGGCAUCGAUUCGUUUGCGUCCUGAACCGGCCCACCGAUCCUGCCUGCCUGGGGGUCUUCAGGUUUCUG